rnacentral:misc_RNA from 1 species
AACUUUCAGCAACGGAUCACUUGGUUCCGGCAUCGAUGAAGAACGCAGCGAAAUGCGAUAAGUAAUGUGAAUUGCAGAAUCCAGUGAACCAUCGAAUCUUUGAACGCACAUUGCGCCCCCCGGCAUCCCGGGGGGCAUGCCCGUCCGAGCGUCAUUGACCCCCCUCGAGCCGCACUUGCGGCUCGGUGUUGGGCUGCGUCCCCUCCCUGCGUGGGGGGAGGACGGGCCCCAAACGCAGUGGCGGUCCAGGGGCGACUCCCCAGCGCGAUAGCAUCUCCAAGACCGUUCGCCGGGCACGAGUCGCUCCGGGCCAGCGCCAGGCAACCCCCGCACGGGACCCACGGUUGACCUCGGAUCGGGCAGGGAUACCCGCUGAACUUAAGCAUAUCAAUAAGCGGAGGCU